CUUCAGGGCAUGGUGACGACUUGCUGGACUUUGCAAGGAAGAGGGAGGAAACAGCUUCCCAAGGAUCCUACAAAUAUGGAUCACUCGGCUCUCCCCUGACAACCUUCUGGCCUGUGGCCCUGCACCCAGUCUCACUAGACCGUCUAUCCUAACAGAGCCAUGAAGAUCCUCCAGCUAUGUUUGGCUAUUCUGUCUUUGCUGCUGCUGGCUACGUCUGGAUUUUCUCAGGAGACAGCACAGAGUGAGGAACCCCAGGAGACACCACAGGGUCAAGAACCCCAGGAGAAACCACAGACUAAAGAAGAAUGCAAAGCUGCAGGGGGGCGUUGCAUACCUCUGACGUGUCUCCACAUGACUAAGAUUGGAAAAUGCAAGGGGUUAGUGACCAUGAAGUGCUGUAAAAAGCAGUAAUCUCGGUUCCCCAAACGAGAGAUUGAACAACCUGCCAGAGGUUAGACUGAUGGAGGAGUCCUGCUUACCCAAGAUCUUUUAAGAGCCACUGGAUUGCUGCUUCACCCCCAGCUAGAGACGCCUUCUGCUUCUUCACCAAAGCAUCUGGAUCGAAAGAAUAAGCCAUCGCAAAAUGUUCCAUGAUUAUACCAGCUUGUCCCUUGCAAUAAAAGCAAAUUAAAAAACCACGUUCCCUCUC